GACGAACCGUGCGAACGUUAUUCGGAAUCACUGGGCUUAAAGCGCGUGUAGGCGGGAGGGCACGUCCGUCGCUGAAAUCCCCCGGCUCAACCGGGGAACGGGCACGGAUACGACCUUCCUGGAGGGGCGUAGGGGGACCUGGAACUUCCGGUGGAGCGGUGAAAUGCGUUGAGAUCGGAAGGAACGCCCGUGGCGAAAGCGAGGUCCUGGACGCCUACUGACGCUGAGAAGCGAAAGCGUGGGGAGCGAACAGG
rnacentral:rRNA from 1 species